ACGUAAGGGCCUGCUUUCGUUUCCGGCCGCUCUGUCGCCGAAGAGCUACUUCCGCCUGGUGUGUCUGAAGCGUGUCGCUGAGGAAGGAGCCUAGAUUUUCGCCAUGAAGCCGAGAAAAAAUACCAAACGUGUUCCAAGCUUCCGCAAGUUGCUGAAAACAAGCAAAAUAAAACUUGACAACAAAUUAAAAAACAAGCAGUUGAAGCAGCAGAGCACUGCUAAGAAAUACAGAAAGGAACAGAGGAAACUCAGACAAGCUGUCAAAGAUGCUGUAUCCAGGAAACCACUGCCUUUGGAAGAUAAGAAAAAACAUCCAGCACAAAAGCAAGAGGAAGAAGAAGAGGACGCCCUCCCUCUUGAUAUGAUGGAUGAAGAUGAUCUGAAAUUAAUGGAGGAACUGUCUCAAAAGGCAUCUUUUAUAACUAGAGAUAUAUCUUCUGAUGAACCUGUUCAUGCCAAGAAGCGUAAGAAUGAGAAUGUGAUUGAGAGAUACGAGAAGAUGCCAAGGCGCAUGCAGACUGAGCCUGAAAAAGAAGUUAUUCAUCUGCUUCCCAUUAAAGACAAACGUGGAAUUAUUCCACAGACCAUGGAAAAGCCAGUUGUCAGGAUGGAAGAUGAUGAAGAAGAGGGAGUGGGAGGUGCUGCUGAAGAAAUGGAAACGGCACAAGCUCAUGCCGAACCUUUACCAGUUCUCUCUGCUGAAGAGCUGUUAGUUUAUAGAAAAAAGAAGCUACAAGAGAAGAAGGUGCACAUUGCUGCUUUAGCAUCUGCUGUCCUGUCUGAUCCAGAAAGUAAUAUGAAGAAGUUGAAAGAAUUGCGUGCAAUGCUAAUGGAACAAGAUCCCAAUGUGGCUGUGACGGUGCGAAAACUAGUGAUGAUUUCUCUUAUGGAGCUAUUCAAAGAUAUUACUCCAUCUUACAAAAUCAGGCCCUUAACUGAGCGAGAAAGAAACACCAAGGUUAAGAAAGAAACUCAGAAGUUAAGAGAAUUUGAGGAAGGCCUUGUGAGCCAGUACAAGUUUUUCUUAGAAAACCUGGAGCAGACUGUGAAAGACUGGAAACAAAGGAAACUGAAGAAAAGUAAUGUUGUACCACUAAAGGCAUACAAAGGCCUGGCAGAGAUUGCUGUGAAGUGCCUCUGUGAGCUACUCGUAGCCUUGCCUCACUUCAACUUCCACAACAACAUUAUUGUUCUGAUUGUUCCACUUAUGAAUGAUCCUUCAAAGCAGGUUUCUGAAAUGUGCAGUGAUGCGGUAAAGACCCUCUUCAAGCAGGAUAAGCUAGGCUUUGCAUCCCUUGGUGUGGUGAAAGUAAUUUCUGGUCUUGUGAAAAGCCGGAACUACGAUGUUAGACCAGAGGUGUUAAUGACACUCCUUCAUCUAAGAAUUAAGGAAGUAGAAGUAAAGAAAGAUGCAGAAGAUAUUGCACCAAAGAAGAAAUUUAUGUCUUAUAAAGAAAAAAGGAAAAAUCUUUCAAGGAUGCAGAGAAAGUGGAAGAAAGCAGAAGAGAAACUGGAGCGCGAACUCUUAGAAGCAGAAGCCUCAGAAAGUACAGAGAAAAAACUGAAACUGCACACAGAAACCUUGAAUAUUGUAUUUUUAACUUACUUCAGAAUACUGAAGAAAGCUCAGAAGUCUCCCCUCUUGCCUGCUGUAUUAGAAGGACUUGCAAAGUUUGCCCAUCUCAUAAACCUGGAAUUUUUUGAUGAUCUCUUGCUCGUUUUGCAUUCACUCAUUGCGUCAGGAGCAUUAAGCCACAGAGAGAGCCUGCACUGUAUUCUUUCUGCUUUUCACAUUUUAUCAGGCCAAGGUGAUGUCCUUAACAUUGACCCCUUGAAGUUCUACACUCACCUUUACAAGACAUUGUUUAUGCUCCAUGCAGGUGCCACAAAUGAAGACGUAGCAAUUGUGUUGCAGUGCCUGGAUGUGAUGCUCAUAAAGCGCCGGAAACAGGUCUCCCAGCAGAGGGCUCUUGCUUUCGUAAAGCGCCUUUCUUCACUCGCUCUCCAUGUCCUUCCGAAUUCCAGUGUUGGGAUCUUGGCAACCAAUAGAUCAUUAAUGCAUACAUUUCCAAAGUCCGACCUUCUCCUAGACAACGAGUCCCAAGGAAGUGGCCUUUACCUCCCUGAGCUGGAAGAGCCAGAAUACUGUAAUGCUCAGAACACUGCUCUGUGGGAACUGCAUGCUCUGAGGAGACACUAUCAUCCAGUUGUUCAGAAAUUUGCAUCUCAUCUUCUUGCUGGUGCUCCGGGUGAAGGAUCAGAAGCCCUUUCGCAUGAAUUUAGCCGGAGGUCGCCUGCAGAACUUUUUGAAUCCUACAGUAUGAAAGGAAUGACUUUCAAUCCUCGUGUCCCAUCAGUUGCUCCCAGGAAAAAGGGUAAAGCGUUAUCAGGGGAGUCAUUUCUCAGUGAAGACUUGAACAAACUUGUUAAAGUUCAUCUCGCAAAUUCUGCCAUCCAAAGCACUGUAGAUUUUGCUGAACACUUAAAGGCAUUACCAAUGUCAUAGAAAUCUUACAAAGCUGACUCAGGAAGAAGGAAAUAUAUGAAAGAAACGACGUUUUCAACAGACAUUCAAGUAUUUUCACCCUCCAGUGGAUGCUGGAUUUUGGAGUAUCAGCAAGCAAUAGAUGUCAAGGCAAAUACUCACUUCCUCGCGUGUUUUAAAGAGGAUCCUUCCAACAUAACCUUCUUCUGGGAACCAGCUAUUCAGGAGCUGGACAAUCUCCUCCUCGGGGCCAAGGAGUCUCUGGAACGGUGGUUUCCUGUAUUCAUUCCUUUCUUUGGAUAUAAAGCACUUCUCCUCCAUCAAGAAAUAAUCUGCAGGAUACGUUCCAAUGCUUUUUGUGGCAACCAAAAUCUAAGGCAGAACCAUGAUAAUAAUUAGAAUGGCAGAAGGCUGCAUGCUUAGUAACCUGAUCGUGGUGACAACAAAAAGCCUUUAUUAGUGGUUUAUGUAGCACACAGUAAAACAUGUUUUUGCUGUAUUAACUAUCCAUUUUGGAUGCCUUUCCAGGGGCUAUUUACUCUCAGAGUAGUGGACUAUUUCAAAGUCAAAUGCUAUUUAAUCUCAUGGCUGUCGGAUCUACUUAGUCAGACCCUUUAUUCACAAUCCCAAGACAGUAGAACAUUUUCCCACUGAUGGAACAACAGCCUCUGUUGAGAUAAUCAGCUGGAGAUUUUUUCCACUUAUGAACUUCGCCCUUUUAGCUUUUAUUCUGCGUUUCAACGAUGUUUGAGAAAAAGAAAUUAUGUACAAAGGCCAGGCGCUUGUGACAAGGGCAGCCAGCCUGGCCCAUCAUUCAGAAGGUCCCUUUCGUGACAGAAACUAUAAUUUUAAUGCAGAACAUACUGUCCAAGCAAAACAUUAGAUCAACAAUACCAGCAAAAUCUUUAUGGCCAGCCUUGUGAAAUGCCCUUUCAAUCUGCACUGGGGGAUCUGUAUCAUUCUAUACCUGAAAGGUUUGACUGGCAUUAUAAAGAUGAGAUAGGGCUUCUCCAAUAGCAGCACCCCAAUUGUGGAACUCCCUUCCAAGGGAAGACGGGCUUAUUUCCUCCUUGUUGAGCUUCUUAGAAGCAUGCCUUGGAUUUCGAAAUCUACUUUUCCCCAUAGCUCUGUCUUUCAGAACUGUUUGAGUCAAUUUUGUUUCCUUCUGUUUUAGUAUUACAGUUUUCUUGCUUACUAUUCUGGGGACAAUAUGUUGGUGAAGGCUUUCAUGGCCGGAAUCACUGGGUUGCUGUGAGUUUUCCGGGCUGUAUGGCCAUGUUCCAGAAGCAUUCUCUUGUCAAACAGACAAGAGUUCUUUCUCCCGCUCUGGAUAUUCCACAGAUAUAUAAAACCCCACUUGCCAAAUUUCCAACAGACCUCACAAUCCCUGAGGAUGCCUGCCAUAGAUGUGGGUGAAACGUCAGGAGAGAAUGCUUCUGAAACAUGGUCAUACACCCUGCAAAACUCACAGCAACCCAACUAUUCUGGCGACAGUGGAGGAGGUGGAGAAGUGAUAUAUAAAUAUAAUUUUAAUAAAUAUCAUAUAUUCCUCUGGUGAUACUGUAGUAUUAGGAACAGCACCCUUAAGUGUCUGAAGAUACAAUUUGGUGUUGAAAGAUGCAUGCAUGUCUAUGACAGCCUUGGAGGAGAAAGGGGGCUAAAGUACAAGAACGAGAUGUUCUCAUUUAACAAACAUGACAGACACUACAUAACACGAUUUUUAUUCCUGGGUUAUGAAUGUCAUUUCCCAAAUGGUUCUAUCAUAAAAACAUGGGGAAAGUUUAUUAAACUGCGAACAUCUUGCUAUAGCACUUUUUGCUAUAGUUUUUCAAUGAAUAUCACAGUGGCUCAACCAAAUCAACAUAGUUUGUUAGCCACAAAAACGAAGUUUCUGGAGGAGAACAACUACUUUUGAAGUAAAUACCGCAGAAUUAAACAGAAAACAACACUUUCAAAACAAGAACAGAACAUUUUUCAAAUUUUGUUACAUAGUGUUAUAGAUCACAUUCAUUAAAAUUUAAUUUAUAAUAUCCAGUCCUAAUACUUGAGUUUUGCUGGUUCUCUAAAACGGAUUAAAAAUCAGAAUUAUAGUGAUGGAAUUUAGACCAAGAAAGAUUGAAGAAUGUCACCCAUAUGCACCCUUUAACAUCAGCUGACUUUUUAUUCUUAUCACCUACUGUGCAAAGGUAUUUCUUGCAUCACUACAUUACCAUGCUUUAGCAUAGCAAGUUAAAUCAUCAGCUGCAGUAAAUCUUGUCAAUCCAAAGGUUGACAGUUCGAAGCCAGGAGUCAGAGUGAGCUCCUGGCUUUUAGCCCAGCUUCCGCCAACCUAGCGGCUUGAAAGAAAAAUGUGAGUAGAUAAAUAGGUACCGCUUAAAAGCAGGGAAGUAUUUUAAGGCAUCCAUAAGGAAAUGCCAGAAAAUGCUGGCAAUUCAACCAAAGGGGAAGUUUAUGAACAAAGCUCAUCAGCAGUGAGAUGGAGAAACAACACCUCCAGUGGAUGGAACCGAGCACAAACCUCCAAGAUGCCGAAAAUGGGGAAAGCCUAUAUAUACCUCUUUCUAUGUACAAUUAUCUGUCUUGUCUGUGUAUACAUGGCAUUGAAUGUUUGCUGCAUAUGAAUGUUCUGUGAUCCGCCCUGAGUCCCCUUUGAAGUCAGAAGGGCGGACUAUAAAUAUUGUAAAAAAAUAAAUAAAUACCAAAAAUCCAAGACCUGGACAGCUGAAAUGUGUAAACUUACUUGAUGCAGAAGCUGAGCAACUGUGGUUCCUUGCCUAAUAGUAAAAAGUGUAAAAGGUUCUGGACCUGGGACUCCAUGUAUGGUAACUUUGUAGAGAGCAGCCGACCUCCUCUCAGGUGUGCUAAACCGC